UGUGUUUACAAUACAAGUAAACAUUCUGCACUUUUAUUUUCUGGGCUGGGGGUCCCAGAGCCUCUGCCUGGUACCUUUCUUCUCUCUCAAGAUUUUUGCAUGGAUAGAUCCUCCUUGGGUCUCAAGUUAAGUGACACAGCCUUGGAGAGGCCUUGCCUGGUUUCCUCUCUUCCACCUGCAAAUUUCAUAUCAAAAAUCCUCACUUGCAUCUUGACCUAGGUACUCACGUUGUCUGUGUCCCCAGCCAGAAAUGAGGCUCACGAUGCCAGAGACCCAUCCACAUGCUGGCUACAGAGUACCGUGUGGCAGGUGGUAGGCACUUACACGUCCCCCUGAAUGACUGAGCCAACAGGGACCCGAGUGGCAGCAGUGUGGCUAUGUUGUAUGGGAGCUCAUGGAGGAGUUCCGAGCCUCUUGAGCUCUCCACCCACCUGGGACCCCACCAGGACCCAUCCCACGAGACAAAUCUGAUGUCAACCAGAGGGACAGACAGAGAGGCCUGAGCCUUUGGUUUCCUGCUGCGUGUAAUGUUUCAGACGGAAAGGAUCACCUGGACCCCAGAAUCUCCAAGGCCUUGUGGGUUACAAGCAGGUCCCCAACAGAGCUUCCAAGGGCAUUGAAAAUUAGCAGCGUGCUACAGGGACAAGGCCAGGCUGAUACAUUCAGAAUUGAAACACGUGGAGCACGAUUAUAAAAUGGUGCAAGUGAACACACACUCAGGAACACACAGACGUUCACGUGCACGCAGGGUGUGGCACACUGGAGGGGCCUUCUCCCCUUGUGUCAUUUCCAUGAGAAUAGGAAGAAGCUGUUCCCAACUCUGCCUCCUGUGGGAAAUGCUAUCCUUGUGGCUGUAUUUGAUUUUUGAAAAUGACGAACCAGAAAUUCAGAGCAUGUCUCGGGGGGCAACCAAGCGGGUAAUUCCUGGUGUUUUACUGAAAUAAUGAAGCCUGGUUUUCUG